CAUAGGCAGUGGCUUGGUUAAGGGAACCCACCGAAGCCGUAGCGAAAACGAGUCUUCAUAGGGCAAUUGUCACUGCUUAUGGACCUGAACCUGGGUGAUCUAUCCAUGACUAGGAUGAAGCUUGGGUGAAACUAAGUGGAGGUGGGUGAAACUAAGUGGAGGUGGGUGAAACUAAGUGGAGGUCCGAACCGACUGAUGUUGAAGAAUCAGCGGAUGAGUUGUGGUUAGGGGUGAAAUGCCACUCGAACCCAGAGCUAGCUGG
rnacentral:ncRNA from 1 species